GCUCAUUCUCAAAGAUCAGCCAUGGGGAGCUGUCGCUGGAAUUCCCAUUGCCUUUCGAAUUGCCACCAGCGGAGAUCCCAUUGCCGGAGAUCCCAUUGCCUUUCGAUGGGCCUACAUUCGUGCUACCGCCACCAUCACCACCACCACCUCCACCGUCACCAUUGCCAUCACCACCUCCGCCAUCUCCAUCACCACCUCCUCCUUCGACAUUAAUACCACUUAUUCCUCCUUUUACCGGCGGUUUUUUGCCUCCUUUGCCCGGCUCUAAGCUUCCUGGCCUUUUGCCUCUGAUUCCCAACUUACCUGAUUUGCCUCCCAUAGGUGGUGGUCCACCUGUUAACCGGCCAAAGCCGUCGUCACCAUCACCCCCAGUUAAGCCGCCACCACCACCACCUUCACCAUGUAAGCCAUCACCACCUGAUCAGUCUACAAAGCAACCACCACCACCUCCGCCAUCAAAACAACCACCACCUCCACCACCAGUUAAGGCAUCAUCUCCAUCUCCAGCAAAGCAACCACCACCUCCUCCACCGCCAGUUAAGUCACCAUCUCCAUCUCCAGCAAAGCAAUCACCACCACCUCCUCGGGCACCAUCUCCAUCACCAGCUACUCAGCCACCUAUAAAGCAACCGCCACCACCAAGUGCUAAGAAAUCUCCUCCGCCACCAGUUGCUUAUCCACCAGUUAUGGCACCAUCUCCAUCACCGGCUGCUGAGCCACCUAUUAUA
rnacentral:lncRNA from 1 species